AACUCUAGGCGGUGGAUCACUCGGCUCAUGGGUCGAUGAAGAACGCAGCAAACUGUGCGUCAUCGUGUGAACUGCAGGACACAUGAACAUCGACAUUUUGAACGCAUAUCGCAGUCCAUGCUG
ensembl:rRNA 5.8SrRNA:CR40454 5.8SrRNA:CR40454